rnacentral:rRNA from 1 species
AACGAACGCUGGCGGCAGGCCUAACACAUGCAAGUCGAACGCCCGUAGCAAUACGGGAGUGGCAGACGGGUGAGUAACGCGUGGGAACGUGCCCUUCGGUUCGGAGUAACUCAGGGAAACUUGAGCUAAUACCGGAUACGUCCGUAAGGAGAAAGAUUUAUCGCCGAAGGAUCGGCCCGCGUCGGAUUAGCUAGUUGGUGAGGU